rnacentral:rRNA from 1 species
CAGGAAUACGGUAGAGAUAUCGUAGUCCGCAGGACCUGUGAACAGGUGCUGCAUGGCUGUCGUCAGCUCGUGCCGUGAGGUGUUGGUUAAGUCCCGCAACGAGCGCAACCCCUACUGCCAGUUACUAACAGGUAAUGCUGAGGACUCUGGCGGAACUGCCGGUGACAAACCGGAGGAAGGUGGGGAUGACGUCAAGUCCUCAUGGCCCUUAUGUCCAGGGCUACACACGUGCUACAAUGGUCGGUACAGAGUGACGCGAAGCCGCGAGGUGGAGCAAAUCGCAGAAAGCCGGCCUUAGUUCGGAUUGGAGUCUGAAACUCGACUCCAUGAAGGUGGAAUCGCUAGUAAUCGCGCAUCAGCAUGGCGCGGUGAAUACGUUCCCGGGCCUU